rnacentral:rRNA from 1 species
UUUCGGCCAAAUGAUAGGAAUGCUUAGUGGCGGACUGGUGAGUAACGCGUGAGGAACCUGCCUUUAAGAGGGGGAUAACAGUCGGAAACGGCUGCUAAUACCGCAUAAAGCAUUGAAUUCGCAUGUUUUCAAUGCCAAAGGAGCAAUCCGCUUUUAGAUGAGCUCGCGUCUGAUUAGCUAGUUGGUGAGGUAACGGCCCACCAAGGCGACGAUCAGUAGCCGGACUGAGAGGUUGAACGGCCACAUUGGGACUGAGAUACGGCCCAGACUCC